AAUGAGCACUGUCACACAUUUGCUUAGAACAAAUGAAGCCUAUUAUGUAUUAUAUAAAAUAUGUCAUAUCUAGUGUGCUACAUGAGGAGCAAACUUUUUGUGAACACUCCAUUUUGGCCCAGUGAAUGGAGCUUAAUAGUAAUCCUUGCUACAAGU
ensembl:snoRNA SNORA62 Small nucleolar RNA SNORA62/SNORA6 family